UAGCCGCAAUUUUUGUGCUAAGGUAGCAUAAUCAAUUGCCUUUUAAUUAAAGGAUAGAAUGAAAGGAAAAACGAAUUCUUAACUCUAUCAAAAAUUUGUAAUAAAAUUUAGUCCUAAGUAAAAACUCUUAAAUAUAAAAAAUAGACGACAAGACCCUAUUGAACUUUACAACCGUUACGCUGGGGAAGCAAAACAACAAAAUCUUACUUUAAUUUACCCAAAAAGAUCCUUUCUGCUAAUUGAUCAAGUUACCCUAGGGAUAACAGCAUAAUAAAUUUUUACAGCUCUUAUAUAAAAAUUAGUUUAUGACCUCGAUGUUGAAUUAAUAACCUAUUUAGAGCAAAAACCAAAUAAGGAAGACUGUUCGUCUUUUAAAAAAUUACAUGAUUUGAGUUCAGACCGGUGUAAACCAGGUCGGUUUCUAUCUUUUUUAAUAAGCUUUUAGUACGAAAGGACCAACACUUAUUUUAAAUAACUAAUUGACAGAAUAUUGUAUUAGAAUUAGAAUCUAACCAACCUUCACAUAUUCAUCAUGACAAAUUCAAUCCUAGUUAUUGUCUCUAUUCUUAUCAGCGUAGCCUUUUACACAAUACUAGAACGAAAAAUUCUAAGAUACAUCCAAUUACGAAAAGGGCCUAACAAGGUCGGCUUCUUAGGACUUCUUCAACCCUUCAGAGAUGCUAUCAAAUUAUUCACCAAAUCCUAUUCUUUCCCCACACAAACCAAUAUUAAAUUGGCCCUUUUCUCUCCCCCUAUAACAUUUAUGAUAGCCAUUAUCCUUUGACCUCUUUUACCCUUAGCAAAAUUUAACAUUAUAGACAACGCCUUAAGUACAUUAAUCUUACUAAUCAUCUCAAGAAUAACAGUCUAUUUUAUUAUAAUAAUUGGU
rnacentral:rRNA from 1 species